UACGAAGGGGGCUAGCGUUGCUCGGAAUUACUGGGCGUAAAGCGCACGUAGGCGGCUUUCUAAGUCGGGGGUGAAAUCCUGGAGCUCAACUCCAGAACUGCCUUCGAUACUGGAAAGCUCGAGUCCGGGAGAGGUGAGUGGAACUGCGAGUGUAGAGGUGAAAUUCGUAGAUAUUCGCAAGAACACCAGUGGCGAAGGCGGCUCACUGGCCCGGCAUUGACGCUGAGAGCGGAAAGCCAG
rnacentral:rRNA from 1 species